rnacentral:ncRNA from 1 species
UCAUCAGGUUCUGUAUCAUGGCUUGAUGAUAUUGCGAAAUUAACACAUUUGGUUGAGCAGGGUGGAUCCCGUUAAACACUCCAAUGGCGGGAUUAAAAUCUCGUGAAUUGCUGGAACACCCUUAGAGCUUUAUCAACCACAACGUGACUGGCAACGGUGAGCGUGAAGGUUUGAAAAUGAUAAGGAUUGGGCAAUCAGCAGCGAAGCAUCUCUGGAAACGGAGAUGAACGUUCAACGACUAUUGAAACUCCCUAAUUCUUACUAAAAACAUAAAAAAGGUGUAAAUUAAAUGGAAGAAAUGGGAGGAGUAAAUCAUAUGGUAUGGAAACGACCUUAUGAGGCGCGAGACAAGGAAGAGUUAAUUAAAAAAAUUUAUAUAUCUCCAUAAUCAUGGAUAUAGCUACGAUUUUUUCUUCCUUGAUGAGAUAGUCUGAUCUCAUGUGAAAGCAUGAG